rnacentral:rRNA from 1 species
AGAGUUUGAUCAUGGCUCAGAUUGAACGCUGGCGGCAGGCCUAACACAUGCAAGUCGAACGGUAACAGGAAACAGCUUGCUGUUUCGCUGACGAGUGGCGGACGGGUGAGUAAUGUCUGGGAAACUGCCUGAUGGAGGGGGAUAACUACUGGAAACGGUAGCUAAUACCGCAUAACGUCGCAAGACCAAAGAGGGGGACCUUCGGGCCUCUUGCCAUCGGAUGUGCCCAGAUGGGAUUAGCUUGUUGGUGGGGUAACGGCUCACCAAGGCGACGAUCCCUAGCUGGUCUGAGAGGAUGACCAGCCACACUGGAACUGAGACACGGUCCAGACUCCUACGGGAGGCAGCAGUGGGGAAUAUUGCACAAUGGGCGCAAGCCUGAUGCAGCCAUGCCGCGUGUAUGAAGAAGGCCUUCGGGUUGUAAAGUACUUUCAGCGGGGAGGAAGGGAGUAAAGUUAAUACCUUUACUCAUUGACGUUACCCGCAGAAGAAGCACCGGCUAACUCCGUGCCAGCAGCCGCGGUAAUACGGAGGGUGCAAGCGUUAAUCGGAAUUACUGGGCGUAAAGCGCACGCAGGCGGUUUGUUAAGUCAGAUGUGAAAUCCCGGGCUCAACCUGGGAACUGCAUCUGAUACUGGCAAGCUUGAGUCUCGUAGAGGGGGUAGAAUUCCAGGUGUAGCGGUGAAAUGCGUAGAGAUCUGGAGGAAUACCGGUGGCGAAGGCGGCCCCUGGACGAAGACUGACGCUCAGGUGCGAAAGCGUGGGGAGCAAACAGGAUUAGAUACCCUGGUAGUCCACGCCGUAAACGAUGUCGACUUGGAGGUUGUGCCCUUGAGGCGUGGCUUCCGGAGCUAACGCGUUAAGUCGACCGCCUGGGGAGUACGGCCGCAAGGUUAAAACUCAAAUGAAUUGACGGGGCCCGCACAAGCGGUGGAGCAUGUGGUUUAAUUCGAUGCAACGCGAAGAACCUUACCUGGUCUUGACAUCCACGGAAGUUUUCAGAGAUGAGAAUGUGCCUUCGGGAACCGUGAGACAGGUGCUGCAUGGCUGUCGUCAGCUCGUGUUGUGAAAUGUUGGGUUAAGUCCCGCAACGAGCGCAACCCUUAUCCUUUGUUGCCAGCGGUCCGGCCGGGAACUCAAAGGAGACUGCCAGUGAUAAACUGGAGGAAGGUGGGGAUGACGUCAAGUCAUCAUGGCCCUUACGACCAGGGCUACACACGUGCUACAAUGGCGCAUACAAAGAGAAGCGACCUCGCGAGAGCAAGCGGACCUCAUAAAGUGCGUCGUAGUCCGGAUUGGAGUCUGCAACUCGACUCCAUGAAGUCGGAAUCGCUAGUAAUCGUGGAUCAGAAUGCCACGGUGAAUACGUUCCCGGGCCUUGUACACACCGCCCGUCACACCAUGGGAGUGGGUUGCAAAAGAAGUAGGUAGCUUAACCUUCGGGAGGGCGCUUACCACUUUGUGAUUCAUGACUGGGGUGAAGUCGUAACAAGGUAACCGUAGGGAACCUGCGGUUGGAUCACCU